UUCCCGGCCAUAUUAGAUGGUGCGGAAAUGUUAAAAUUGAUCGCUUUUUGUAACGAUUGACAAUUGUCAACAAGUUUGUCACGGUCACGGACGAUGGGAGCUCGAAUUAUUUUUUUCUUAUCCGCUUGUUAAUAGAUUUCAAUCCUCAUGAUCUGGAAUCUUCAUUCAGAUCCCGCCACGACAGCAGCGAAGAAUAAUGGCGAAAACCGGGUCGCGCGACAGUGGGACAUUUUGUACCUUCGGAGUUGUUCGGAGGUUUUGCCGUUGCCGGAGAUAAACUUAUCAGCGAUCAUGUUGGCGGCUAGUUCAUCUUUCAACGCGCUUCGAUCAGUAACCGCAAUCCACCACUGUGCUGUAAUUGUAUUCGAUGGUGGAAUCGAAGUGCAAGUGACCUAUAUGCGCCUAUAUAUUUGCGGUUUUUAAUAAAAAGUACAUAAAUGGUCUCUGAAACAA